AUAUUUGCAACCGUGACGUCAUCAACAGCAACAAAAAUCACAAAGAAGCUCUGCUUGAUAGUGUGUAGGUUAGUGGCAAUAGCUGAAGAUACAGUCCUAUAACUCAAGCUAUAACGUCUGAUACUGGCUGCAUAGGUGUUGUAGCAACUACCAAGCCUUAAAUAAUGCCAUGCCUCUUAUUUUUGAAAGAGGUUGCACUGUUUUUGUUACAAAAAGCUACCACCAGCCCCCCUGGAAUUUUUACUGAGACGGCGCUUAUGGAAUAACGUCUAACUCAGGCUCUGAUUCGGACUGACUGGUUUGACUGUCACUCCCUGUAUUUUGUCCGAACACCCAGUCGACGAUGUCUUCCCCUUCUCUGUCUGUCAAUCUGCCUGCCUCCACAUCUUCUUCCAGAGAUAUAAUCCACACCGUCCAGUCAAACAACCUGUCGAACACUUGCAUCCUUUAAGGAGUGAGUCGACUCGAUCACGGACAGCCUGUACGUUGGUGGCAGUAUCCCAUUUAAUGGACAAACCUGACGAGUGAAAUCAAUGUUCAAGGAGGCUGCAAGGGUACGUGCUGGCUCACUUCGCCAGUUGCUUGGACUACUCAUAUUCCCACUGACGCCAUGGCACAACUCACAUACUCCGUUGUCUGCAACACUGUCACUGACUUCCCCAAAAGAAAGCUGCCUUCUAGUUUUUCGCUUACUAGCUAGACACUAUUUUACAUUAAUUUUUUAUAUCAUUAUUGUGUGACACAACAAACCUGGAAUGUC